rnacentral:rRNA from 1 species
GACGAACGCUGGCGGCGUGCUUAACACAUGCAAGUCGAACGGAAAGGCUCCAGCUUGCUGGAGUACUCGAGUGGCGAACGGGUGAGUAACACGUGGGUAAUCUGCCCUGCACUCUGGGAUAAGCCUGGGAAACUGGGUCUAAUACUGGAUAUGACCUUUCUCCUUAUGGGGUUUGGUGGAAAGUUUUUCGGUGUAGGAUGAGCCCGCGGCCUAUCAGCUUGUUGGUGGGGUGAUGGCCUACCAAGGCGACGACGGGUAGCCGGCCUGAGAGGGUGAUCGGCCACAUUGGGACUGAGAUACGGCCCAGACUCCUACGGGAGGCAGCAGUGGGGAAUAUUGCACAAUGGGCGGAAGCCUGAUGCAGCGACGCCGCGUGAGGGAUGACGGCCUUCGGGUUGUAAACCUCUUUCAGCAGGGACGAAGCGUAAGUGACGGUACCUGCAGAAGAAGCACCGGCUAACUAUGUG